AACAGUUGCAGGAUCUACGUCACCAACCAGUUUCAGAAGCGGAGAUCCAUCCAUUCAGACCAGUUGCCCGCAAUGAAGUCUAUGCACCAUAGAUUUGACUUACGGAGAUUCUAGCGUUGGAACAAUCAUCCAGGUCGAGCACCGGUUUUAAACGGGACGCGAACACGAUGUAUAAUUUAUGUCGUUUUUCUGAUAUAAUACCGAUCGCACUUCUUUCCGCCGACGAAAUCGUAGACCCUAAAGUCAGAUUUUGCCUAAUCUACUCAGGAAUCGUCCGGAUGCCGUCGUCGGAGAUUGCCAAAAUCUUCGAUCUAGCACGUCCUUAACAGGGAAAUGUAAUAACAUGAGAGAGUGAGUGUGUUGGUCGAGUGACGUUUUUGAAAUAAAUGCUCAUUUCUCUAA